CCUACGGGGGGCAGCAGUAAGGAAUAUUGGUCAAUGGACGCAAGUCUGAACCAGCCAUGCCGCGUGAAGGAUGAAGGCCCUCUGGGUUGUAAACUUCUUUUAUCUGGGACGAAAAAAGGGGAUUCCUCCCCACUUGACGGUACCAGAGGAAUAAGCACCGGCUAACUCCGUGCCAGCAGCCGCGGUAAUACGGAGGGUGCAAGCGUUAUCCGGAUUUACUGGGUUUAAAGGGUGCGUAGGUGGGCAUUUAAGUCAGUGGUGAAAUCUCCGGGCUUAACUCGGAAACUGCCAUUGAUACUAUUUGUCUUGAAUAUCCUGGAGGUAAGCGGAAUAUGUCAUGUAGCGGUGAAAUGCUUAGAUAUGACAUAGAACACCCAUUGCGAAGGCAGCUUACUACGGGAUCAUUGACACUGAGGCACGAAAGCGUGGGGAUCAAACAGGAUUAGAUACCCUUGUAGUC
rnacentral:rRNA from 1 species